rnacentral:rRNA from 1 species
AGUGAACGCUGGCGGUAGGCCUAACACAUGCAAGUCGAACGGCAGCACAGUAAGAGCUUGCUCUUACGGGUGGCGAGUGGCGGACGGGUGAGGAAUACAUCGGAAUCUACUUUUUCGUGGGGGAUAACGUAGGGAAACUUACGCUAAUACCGCAUACGACCUACGGGUGAAAGCAGGGGAUCUUCGCACCUUGCGCGAUUGAAUGAGCCGAUGUCGGAUUAGCUAGUUGGCGGGGUAAAGGCCCACCAAGGCGACGAUCCGUAGCUGGUCUGAGAGGAUGAUCGGCCACACUGGAACUGAGACACGGUCCAGACUCCUACGGGAGGCAGCAGUGGGGAAUAUUGGGCAAUGGGCGCAAGCUUGAUCCAGCCAUACCGCGUGGGUGAAGAAGGCCUUCGGGUUGUAAAGCCCUGUUGUUGGGGAAGAAAAGCAGCAGGAUAAUACCCCGCUGUUCUGACGGUACCUAAUGAGUAAGCACCGGCUAACUUCGUG